UUUUUUUUUUAUAUUUGUUUUAAGAUUUAUUAAGCGGGGCACUGCUGUGGGCGUGGCUUGUUGUUUGGGGCGGGGUUUACACCACGUGGGCGGUCUUAUCUUUCCACUGGAAGUUUGGGUUUAUAGGUUGAGCUGAGUUUACCCUUUCAGUUUUCAGUUCAGACCAUAGACUGAUUCAAACCCUUGUGUUCGGGUCUGAGACCCUCUUUCCGGACGGUGUGAGAGGUGUGAGUCUCUCUGUGGAGGUUUGACUGGGUUUACAGGGACAGCUCUUCGCCCUGUGUGUGCAGAAAUCCUCUUUUCUGCGGUUUCUUUCUUCAGAGAACUGAAUCACAUGAUCAGUCUUUUGUCAUAAGACACUGAUGAAGCAGCGGCCGAGAGUGAGUGAAACCCCCGAGCGGCUCUCCGCUGGUGUUUUUAUUGUCUUUUGACCGGUUCUAGGGCUCAGCCAUGAGCUUCGCUUCUUCGGUGAAACAGAUGUUGUGACUCUUUGAGGGAUCGCUGAAACAUGGCACACUGUGGAGUCCGGGCUGCUGUGCUCUGCGCCUGGCUGAUCGGAGUGGUGUGGAGCCAGACCACGCUCACCCCUGCAGUGACUGCCAGCACAGUCAGUGAGAAUGUGACCACCACCACUCCCGCCAUGAUCAGCACCACUGCUAUUGGUUGCUCUGCACUCAACACCUCCACCUGUGAAGCUUGUGCUCCAGGCUCUUACUACGACAACGACACCUUGCUGUGUUUGUGUUGUCCGGAGGUGGGACUCUGCAUGUUCCCUGGAGCCUGUCUACCCUGCUUUCAGGGCUUUUAUCAGCCGUUAGCAGGCCAGCAGACAUGCCUGCCCUGUUUGCCAGGCUUCUACACCAACUUCACUGGCAGCCCUGUGUGCCAGGCAUGUCCUCCUGGUUCAUUCACCAACAACACUGGCUCCCUUUCCUGUAGAACCUGCUCACCAGGUUUUUAUACAUCAGAACGGAAUGCCACUUUGUGUAACCCAUGUCCAGAAGGCACGUACUGCAACUCCUCCAGUUGUGUCCAAUGCCAAAUAUGUCCUGCAGGCUCUGAGGCUCUACAGGACGGAGCUAAAGAUUGCACCCCUUGUCGACCAGGUAUGCACAAGCCCUCACGCCAAAAAAUGUGUCAGAUCUGUAGCAGUGGCUUCUAUCAGAUCAGCUGGGGCCAGGAGAACUGUGACAUCUGCCCUGAAAACCACUACUGUCCUAGUCCUGAUGUGAAUCCAAUCCAGUGUCCCAGUGAUGCUUUCUGCCCGGAAGGCAGCACUGCACCAGGUUACUGCAUGGAGACGUUCUUCAGAAAAGCUGGGGACACGUGUGAACUUGCACCUGUCACUAUAGCUCUGCUUGUUAUUGGAGGAGGAGUGGCACUUCUUUUUAUCAUCCUCCUGGUCUUAAGGAGAAGGAAGGAUACAGACAGUGAACUGUCGCUGUCACGUGCCCCCCUCUUGCGGAAGGAGCGACCACCUGGCCGCUUGUAUGGAGUCCCCUGUGAUGCAGAGCCAGUGUACGCAGGGUGGUGAUAAAUGCAUUGUUUACAAAAACUAAAUCUAUCAAGCCACUGUGAGCUCCAGAGGGGGACAGGAUGAUCAUUUUCAUCCUCUUUUUUUGGUAGCUCCUUCAGACCACGUCCAAUAAAAAUGAGAGAAUUUUUAUCUGACA
rnacentral:lncRNA from 1 species